UAAGUACCGUGCGCUAACCAAUUGCGCCACUGGAGCUGUUGAAAAUAUUUCUCUCUAAGAACAAUUUUCAGCACUUCUAUUAUUGAAUUGAAAAAAAUAUAUUAUAUUACAAAGCAUUGCAUUUACUUAACUAUAGUUUGUUGUUUAUGAUGUCAAAGAAGAAAAUUUUAAUAAGAAAAAUGUAUAGUCCUUGUGAAAAGAAAAACUUUUUAUGAUUGAAAGCAUCGAUAAACUACAUUCAUGUAUAUAAUAAAGAAUGAGCUGGUUUGAUGCCACCGGAUUUGCCAAUUUGGCUAAGUCUGCUUUGAAAGAAGCUCAGAAAACAAUUGAUAAGGCACUAGAUAUCAAAGAUGAGGAUCAAAAACCAUUGGAAAGUCACACGGAGGAUACAUCAGAUUUUUUUGCAUCAUGGGGAUUAAAAAGUGAUGUUCAUCAUGAUGUUCAGCCACAUCGUGAUAAAAUGAAAGAAUCCAAACAAGAAGCUACAAGUAGUAUAUGGGGUAGUUUUACUGGAUCAUUUUUUGAAUCACCAAAAUUUAAUGAAAUGGAUCACAAUGCAAAACCCAAUGCUCAUUCCAAAUCUUUACAAAGUACACCUAUUGAAAAUGAAAAAAAACUUGUAUCUUCAUCAUCAUUUUCAGAAGAUUAUAAAAUUAAAUCAUUGAAUCCUAGGAAAGAAUCUAAACAAGCAGAAAUUUGCAAAGAGAAAAAUAUUCAUGAUCAAAAUGUUCUUAGUCAAGAUGUUAAUACAUGUAAUGAUCUAAAACAAGUAAUUUCAUUAGAAACAAUUGAUACAAGUAUAACUUUUGCCAAAGAUGAUGAAGUUAAUGAUUGUUCAAAUACUAAUAUAAAUAAUCCUAAAAUAGUAGAAUAUUCUUCAAAGGAAAUGAAAGAUAUUAAUAUUAAUAUUAAAAUGGAAGAUGUAAAAAUGAGAUCUGAAGAUAAAGAAAUUCGCGAAUAUGAUUCAGAUUCUCCUGUCUCCACAUCUAAUAGAUUAUCCUUUGUAUCUCCAGAAAAUGAUAAGAAAAGUUUGGAGAGUGUUGAAAUUCUUGGUUCUCGAUCUAAUACCGAAUGUACUACAUCUCCUGAUUCAGACAGUUGUUCUGUUAGUAAUUUGGCAAGUCCAGCUACAGGAACUAAAGUUAAUUCCGAGUCUGUAGAAAUUCUACCAGAUAGUUUAGUAACAUCACCAAGUUCUGUGGAAGUGUUAGGAGAUUGGAAAAGUGAUACCAGCCCUUAUUUAUCUCCUAUAGAUCAAAAAAAUUCUGAUUCAUCAUCUAUUUUAGAUCGAGAUGAUUCAGUGACUCCAUGUUGGGAUGAUAUCAAUGUUCCUCAAAUUAUAAGUAAAGAAAAUGUGAUAAAUCCAUCAUCUUCUGAUAUUUCGCCAUAUGAAUCUCCAAUGGAAGAAGUCAAAACAUUGCAUGAAAAUUUAUAUAUAAGCAAUAUGGAUGAGCAAUCAUCAACAGAAACAUAUCUAGAAAUUGAAUCACAAUUACAUAAAAGUCUAUCCACUGGACAUUCAAUGAAAGUUUUACCAGAAAAUGUAGAAACAAUAUCUUAUUCUGAUGAGAAAGAUGAAGUAAGCUUAGCAGAAGAUUCUUAUACUUCUACAUCAGAAAGUACAGUUAUAACAAUGUUAGAAACGCUUCAGCAAAAAGAGCAAGUGAAGAAUAAAGUGGAAAUAUCUAGUGGUGUUUUACCAAAUGAAAAAAUAUAUGAUUUAUGUUUAGAUAGUAAGCUAACUUUAAAAAAAACUAAUACAGAUAUAAAACUGGAUUUGAAUCUUGAUUCUUUAACUGAAAAACAUAAUUUACAUUUACCAAUUGAAGCAAUUACAACGCAACCAAUCCGUAAGCCAGAAUAUUUUGAUGGAGCAGGUAAAAUAUCUGAACCCGAUCGAAAGAGUUUUGAUCGAUUAAUAAAUUCUACUAUAGAACCUACAGAAACAGAACAUUCUAUUGAAAUUAGUCACCUAUUUAAAUCAGAAAAGAUAGAAGUUUCAGAUCAAGUCUUAAUUUCAACAGAUUCAAGUUGUGAAGGUACUUUAAUAGAGAGUAGUUCAGAAGAAAAUCCACAAUUGAUUCAUAAAUCAGAAGGAAGAGAUUUACAAGCACCUUUAAACUCUAGUUCAUAUGUAAAGACAAUGUUAGAAGAUGCAAUGAUUGAAAAAGGAACUGAAAUUAUUGAGGCAGAAAUACAAGGUACGGAAAUGCCUCGAGAAAAUUCUCCUAUUUCAUCAGAGAGUCGAUCUGAUCUAGUAAAAAUUGGCUCUGAUCAAACUAGUGGUCAUACUAGUGGAGAUGAAUUGGAAACUACUACUUCUAGCGAUAUUGAAAUUAUAUCCAGGUAUAGUCCAAACGGUGAUUCAAGUUCUAUACAAUCACGACAAAAUUUGGCAAAACUACAAUCAGCAAAAGGCGGCGAUCUUUUAUUGAAGACAUUAAAAACUAAAGGACAUUCAAGAGAAUUGAGUGAAAUUAGUGUAGGAUCUGAUGAAGCAAAUCUUGAAAUUGAAAAAUUAUUAAAACGUAUACAAGAAAUGACAGAAAUAUUAGAAGCUAGAGAAUCAAAACUUAUUGAUGUUAGCAGAAUGAAUAUGGAAUUGCAUGAACAAAAUAAUAAUUUGAAAAAACAACUUGAUAACUUUGAAAAACAUGCAGAGCAAAAUCAAAAUAUAAAUCAAAUUACUGAUGAAUAUACGCAACGGCUUUCUGCCUUAGAAAGAAAAUUUCAGCAAGCAAUACGAGAACGAGAUUCAUUAAGAAAAAAUUUGGAACAGUUGAAAGUAGAAGCAGCUACGCGUUUGUCAUCUCAAGAAUUGUCUACUUUAAAUGCUGAAAAAGAUGAAAUUAUUAAGGAACUUAGAGAAGAAGGAGAAAAAUUAAGCAAACAACAGCUUCAACAUAGCAACAUUAUUAAAAAAUUACGUGUUAAGGAAAAAGAAAAUGAUACUUUAAUAAAAAGUCAAAAAGAACAAAUAGAAGAACAAAUUUCAGAAUUAGAACGUCUAAAAAGAUCAUUGCGCGCAAAAGAAGAAGUUGAAUUAUCUCAAAUAGAUGCUGUUUAUUCAUUAACAGCACGAACAAAAACAUUAGAGAAAGAAAUAACGACAUUACAAAAGCAAUUAGAGAAUAUGAUGCAUAAUGCAGAUAAUUAUAAAAAAAAUUUAGACACUACAAAAAUAGAACUAUCUGAAACAAAAAAAAUUUUAGCAGCAACAGAAGUGGAAUUGAAAGAAGCAACAACUAAUGUUGGAGAAUCGUGUCAAUUACUUGCACAAGUAGAAGAAUUAAAAAUUAAAUUAAGAGAAUCUGAAGAAAUGCAUGUUAAGAAAGAAGAAUUUCUAAAGCAUGAAAAUAGUGAAUUAUUAAAGCGCUUAGAAGCGGCCGAAGCUAGAAGUGAAGAACUUUCAGAAUCUGUAUCAAUGGCCACAAAACCAUUAUUGAGACAAUUGGAACAACUUCAAGCAAAUUUGUUACAUAAAUCUAAUAGUUUUAUGAAACAGGAGAAAACAUUAUCAGAAAAAAAUAUUGAAUUACAGACAAAAGUAGAAAAUUUACUCGAAACAGAUCGUUAUCUUAAAGAGGAGAAUAUUAAUUUAAAGUCAAAGAUAUCUCAGUUAGAAACUAAGUUUACUGUUAAAGAAAACGAAAGAAAACGAUUACAAGAAUUAUACGAUGAAUUAGUGAUACAAAAAGAAAAAUUUGCUGAACAAAAUAUGCGUUGUUUGCAGGCAGCGACAAAUGAUAGAAACUCUUGAACAAUCUCACUCUACAGAAAUAAUGGAGUUAAAAAGAGAAAUUGUUGCGUUAGAAAAUAAAUUAUCUAUAGAAAAAGCAGCUACAGAUGCAGAAAGAAGAAAAAAUCAUGCAAUGUCAGAGCAACAACAAAAUAUUGAAGAUAAUGAACGACUUAGCCCUAGCACUAGCACAGAAGAAGAUUCUGUAAAUACUAUAGACAGUAUUUGGCCGUUAUAUAAUUCUACUGCCGAAAACAAAUCUGAAAGUUAUGCAAUGACAUUUGAUAGUAUCAGAACAGGAUCUAGUAGUACUUCUAUAUUUGAGAAUUUACAAGCUCAACUGAAACAAAAAGAUGGUGAAAUUCAACAACUUCAAUGGGAAUUAUCGCGACGUAAUAUAGAAAGAGACGUGUUAAAUUCAGAAUUAUCUACAUUAACUUUAAAAAUAGAAGAAUUAAAUGUUAAAGUUAUGAAUGUUGCAGUUUUAAAUGAAAGUUUACAAGAAAUACAAACUAGAUAUGAUGCAUUGUUACAAAUGUAUGGUGAAAAAAUGGAGGAAAAUCAAGAAUUACGUUUGGAUCUACAAGAUGUCAAAGAGAUGUAUAAAACUCAAAUUGAUCAACUUUUAAAACGAGAUACUUGAAAUUUUUAAAUAAAAGUUGAUUGAAUUAUU
rnacentral:misc_RNA from 1 species